rnacentral:rRNA from 1 species
AGAUUGAACGCUGGCGGCAUGCCUUACACAUGCAAGUCGAACGGCAGCACGGGGGCAACCCUGGUGGCGAGUGGCGAACGGGUGAGUAAUAUAUCGGAACGUACCCUGGAGUGGGGGAUAACGCAGCGAAAGUUGCGCUAAUACCGCAUACGAUCUACGGAUGAAAGUGGGGGAUUCGCAAGAGCCUCAUGCUCGUGGAGCGGCCGAUAUCUGAUUAGCUAGUUGGUAGGGUAAAAGCCUACCAAGGCAUCGAUCAGUAGCUGGUCUGAGAGGACGACCAGCCACACUGGAACUGAGACACGGUCCAGACUCCUACGGGAGGCAGCAGUGGGAAUUUUGGACAAUGGGGGCAACCCUGAUCAGCAAUGCCGCGUGAGUGAAGAAGGCCUUGGUUAGAAGUCUCGUUUGUCGUAGGAAGAACGGUGGAGGACCGAAUACCCGUCCGACUAACGUGACGGUACC